rnacentral:misc_RNA from 1 species
GAUUGAACGUCUGUCGAGCUUGCUCACAGGCACAUCAUAUCCAUAACACCUGUGCACUUGUCGAAUGGCUUAGUGAAGACCGCAAGGUUGGAUCUAUCCAUCUACCUUACAUAACAAUCCUGUAACAAAUGUAGUCUUAUUAUAAUUAAUAAAACUUUUAACAACGGAUCUCUUGGCUCU